AAGAGUCACUGCUGGAAGAUCCAAUGCUGGAAUUGACAGUAGAUGCUCAUAGUCAUCACGGGAGCUGAGCUCUGUAACUGUACCCAGCCCAGGGCCUGUACAUACACUGGUUCCUACAAGGGUGGUGAUGUGAAGUGAAUGCUUGGGAACUGGGACUGGGAUGUAAAUUUCCCGUUUGCCAGGGGCCAGCUCUGGGACCUCAGGUGAAUGUGACACUUCUCUGGUUAGCCAAGUCAUCACCUACAGAAUGCAGGACAUGUCAAAUGAGUUCAUUUGAUGCACAAUAAGCAAAAAUCAGCAAACUCUCAGGGCACUUUGUAAAGACACAGGCAGUUUGAGGAGGUAAUAUGGCAGAGUGGGAAG
rnacentral:lncRNA from 1 species